CUUGUACUCCCUCCGUCCAAAAAUACUUGUCAUUGAAAUGGAUGUAUCUAGAUGUAUUUUAGUUCUAGACACAUCCAUUUUGAUGACAAGUAAUUCCGGACGGAGGGAGUACUUG
rfam:Triticum aestivum genome assembly, contig: Triticum_aestivum_CS42_TGACv1_scaffold_638385_7DS